GCAGCAGAACAGAUAUGCCGUGAGCGCUCGAGAUUGGAGCGCCAACAGAACGGGGCUCACUCUCC
rnacentral:RNase_MRP_RNA from 14 species